GGGGAUAUAGCUUUAUUGGUAAAGUGCUUGACUCACAUACAAAAGGCCCUGGGUUCAAUCCCCAGAACCACA
rnacentral:tRNA from 1 species